rnacentral:tRNA from 1 species
GAAUAAGAAGCGAUAAAUUGCAAUCAGUUUCGACCUGAUCUUAGGUAAAUAUUACCCUCAUUCU